rnacentral:rRNA from 1 species
GACGAACGCUGGCGGCGUGCCUAAUACAUGCAAGUCGAGCGGUGAAGGGUGGUACUUGUACCAAGGGGAUGAGGAGCGGACGGGUGAGUAACGCGAGGGGAGUCUCCCUUUGAGCGGGGGACGACAUCUGGAAACGAAUGCUAAUACCGCAUAAAAACUUGAAACACAAGUUUUAAGGUUGAAAGAUGCAAUUUCAUUCCGCAAGGGUGAGCCCGCGUUGGAUUAGCUAGUUGGGGGGGUAAAGGCUCGCCAAAGCGGGGAUACAUAGCCGGCCGGCGAGGGUGGUCGGCCGCAUUGAGAGUGAGACACGGCCCAAACGCAUACGGGAGGGAGCCGUAGGGAAUCUUCGGCGAUCGACGGGAGUCUGACCGAGCAACGCCGGGUGCGUGAAGAAGGGUUUCGGUUCGUAAGACUCCGUCUGUAGCGAAGAACGUUGGUCAGAGUGGAAAGCUCAUCAAGUGACGGUAACUGGCCAGAAAGCGACGGCUAACUACGUG